rnacentral:rRNA from 1 species
GAUGAACGCUGGCGGCGUGCCUAAUACAUGCAAGUCGAGCGAACAGACGAGGAGCUUGCUCCCCUGACGUUAGCGGCGGACGGGUGAGUAACACGUGGAUAACCUACCUAUAAGACUUGGAUAACUUCGGGAAACCGGUGCUAAUACCGGAUAAUAUAUUGAACCGCAUGGUUCAAUAGUGAAAGACGGUUUUGCUGUCACUUAUAGAUGGAUCCGCGCCGCAUUAGCUAGUUGGUAAGGUAACGGCUUACCAAGGCAACGAUGCGUAGCCGACCUGAGAGGGUGAUCGGCCACACUGGAACUGAGACACGGUCCAGACUCCUACGGGAGGCAGCAGUAGGGAAUCUUCCGCAAUGGGCGAAAGCCUGACGGAGCAACGCCGCGUGAGUGAUGAAGGUCUUCGGAUCGUAAAACUCUGUUAUUAGGGAAGAACAAAUGUGUAAGUAACUAUGCACGUCUUGACGGUACCUAAUCAGAAAGCCACGGCUAACUACGUG